rnacentral:rRNA from 1 species
GACGAACGCUGGCGGCGUGCUUAACACAUGCAAGUCGAACGGACAGGCCCUGCUUUUGUGGGGUGCUCGAGUGGCGAACGGGUGAGUAACACGUGAGUAACCUGCCCUUGACUUUGGGAUAACUUCAGGAGACUGGGGCUAAUACCGGAUAGGAGCUCCUGCUGCAUGGUGGGGGAUGGAAAGUUUGGGCGGUUGGGGAUGGACUCGCGGCUUAUCAGCGUGUUUGUGGGGUAGUGGCUUACCAAGGCUUUGACGGGUAGCCGGCCUUAGAGGGUGACCGGCCACAUUGGGACUGAGAUACGGCCCAGACUCCUACGGGAGGCAGCAGUGGGGAAUAUUGCACAAUGGGCGGAAGCCUGAUGCAGCAACGCCGCGUGCGGGAUGACGGCCUUCGGGUUGUAAACCGCUUUCGCCUGUGACGAAGCGUGAGUGACGGUAAUGGGUAAAGAAGCACCGGCUAACUACGUG